rnacentral:lncRNA from 1 species
GAUUGGACUGACCGGCUACCAGUGCAGAGCAUCCCAGGCCCCAACCUUUCCUGGACAGUUGGACCUCUUCCUGAGAGACCCCGGAACGUUUUCUACCUUACCCUUGGGAGAAGAGCCUCUGGCUGAAUGGCAGCUGUGGAUGACUUACAGUUUGAAGAAUUUGGCGAUGGAGCUACACUGUUAGCAGCAAAUCCAGAUGCUACCACGAUAAACAUUGAGGACCCCAGUGUAUCUUUUGGCCACCAACCCAGACCCCCCGGGAGCGUGGGGCGAGAAGAGGAUGAGGAGCUGCUGGGGAACAACGACUCUGACGAGACCGAGGUUUGGACUACGCUUCCAUUUUCUGUCCUUUGACUUUUCUCGGCUUAGAGCCCACACACUUAAUCAUUUGGUAGAUGCCUGGUGCAGCGCCGGGCAGUGGUGACACCAAGACAUGUGACCCAUCACAUCACUUUGGGGCCAGGAAAACAGGUAAACAGAUGAUCCCUCGUGAGAAGCCCGUGUGUGGGUGGUGUCUGGGAAGCAGAGGGGAGUUAGGGAAGGUUUUCUCUGGUCAGUGACGCCUGGCUGAGUUUGCUGCAAGAGGGAAAGUGGCUCCGCACUGGUGGUAGAGGCAAGGGGAAGGAUCUUAGUAAAGCCACAGAGGCACAAAGCUCUCAAUGCAGACAGGAACAGCCUUGCCUCCCCCUGCACUGCAGCAAAGAGUGAGUGAAGGCAGCAGGUAAGACUACAGACGAGCAAGGACCUGGUGAUGUUAGUUCCCGUGUGUUCUGAAAAUUGGUUGGGGUUUUUUUUUUUGUUGUUGUUGUUGUUUUUCGAGUCAGGGUUUCUCUGUGUAGCCCUGGCUGUCCUGGAACUCACUUUGUAGACUAAGCUGGCCUUGAACUCAGAAAUCUGCUUGCCUCUGCCUCCCGAGUGCUGGGAUUAAAGGCGUGCGCCACCACGCCAUUAUUUAGUUUUGGUGGCCUUAAAUAAGUUGGAGGAAGACAGACUAGAGGCCGGAAGACCAGACAGAGUAGGGCAAAAUGGUCUUGACUAGAAGCAAUGGGAGCAGACCCAGUAGGACUUGAGAAAUGGUGUAGGUGAAGGAGAAAGCAGGAGGCCGCAGGGAGACAUAGAGGCCUCUGUCUGAUUGGGUGGCGUAUAAAUCAAGUGGGUCUUUGUGACCCUGGGCACAUAGCUGGGGUGUGUGGGGAGUAGUAUUUCUUCAUUACUCCACACAUUGAGAAUGCCGAAUUCUAACCACUAGACCACCAGGGAGUGACCCUCCACACAUUGAAUUAUGGUCCACAGCCCAUGAAAGGUGCUCAUUCUGUGUAGCUUCACUGUGCAGCUCUGGGGCACCAUCACCAGCUGUGUGAGUCCUUUGUCACCAGGAGGACAGGAAUCAGACACUGAUUCAUCCUGCAGUGUAGGGAAAGUGAGUCUCUUACAGAAAAGACACCCAGGGGCCUGCAGAGCACUGGGGUUAGAGGAGUGAGCAGCAGGCUGCCUUCCAGGGAGAGCUGUCAGGAGCACGGGCUACAUCGCAUCCAGAGGGGAUGGAUUUGAAUGUGUGUGUUCUCCAGGAAAGAACAGGAACUCAGACUCCAUUCAUGGCUCAACACUUGCUUGGAUGUGCAGUCCAGCUCCCGCCAACCAGGCUCUUAAGAUGCUUUACCAUAGCCAUGUAACGAGGCUCCCGGAGACCUGCAUGGUUGCAUAUUCCUAAAAUCAAGGCACUCGGGAGGAUGAGGCCGGAUGAUUGAGAGUUCAAGGACAGCCUAGACUACAUAGUGAGACUCUAUCUCAUAUAGACAGGAACAAAACUAACAAAACCUAAGGACAGAACUGUCCUUGGUCAGAAUGAGUGUCCUGUGAGUAGUGACUUCUUAACCAGUUUGCCCAGAGCCUCCUGGUCUCAUUUUCAUUCUCUUGCUUGUAGGCUAUUUGCAGUUCCCUACUUCAUCUCUCUUCUUAAAGGUUUUGGAGGCCCAGUGGCAGGCUGUGGCCUUUUGUCUUUCUUGUUGAAAUUGCCUGGACUCAGCAUUUGAAUGUUAACUUUAUGUGGGAUACUUGUAACCUAGAAACACAAACCUGGCCAAAAUGUUUACAGAGGCGAGGACUGAAGAUAGUCACUAACAGAAUGAUAGCCAUUAGAGGGCCAGCCUAAGGUAGGAACCAAGAUAGAGGAACAGGGCAGUUCUCACUGCUGACCAAGUGGCCUUUGGGUAUAUGAAAUAGUACCUUAAAAGAACAAAGUGGGCUGGAGAGAAAUGGCUUAGCUGUUAAAGGCUAGUGUGGGGAUUGGAAUCUGCAUGGCCCUUAGGGAAUGGUAUUGCUAGGAGGUGUGGCCUUGUUGGGGGAAGUUACUGUAGGGGUGGGCUUUAAAGCCCCACCCAGUGUGGGAGAGUUGGUCUUCUGAUUUGCAUGCGGAGCAAGAUGUGGAACUCUCAGCUCCUCUAGCACCAGGCCUGCCUGCAAGCUUCGCUGCUUGCCUCCAUGGAGGUAAUGGUCUGACUCUGAGAACCAAUAAACCAGCCCCAAUUAAAUGUUGUCCUUGUAAGAGUUGCCUUGGUCACAACAUCUCUUUACAGC